UUUUUUUUUAACACUUGAAUAUAAAUUUAUUGCACUAAAGCUGUUAACAAUAACCUUACCGCUACAGCUUUAACUGUAAGGUACCCUGAAAUGGUUAGUAUCUAUAAGAACAGGGUUUCAUAUAGAUAAGUAUUAUUUUCUUAAAUUUUAUAUUAGAAUAUUACAAUAAAUACAAUGUUCAAUAAUAAUAUAAUACAAUUCAAUACUCUGAUCUGAAAUUAAUGAUAUACUUUUCUUCAAUACAUAAUUAAAUAACGCCCAUAUAAUACACUUGUCCGAAAUUGAUUGUCUGGUGUCAAUUAUCUCGUUUAAAAAUUACAUGAUUUAAGAGUGUGUGAUAUCGAUUUUCUUGAUCGGAUGGUUUACCUUGUUUAAAGGUGAGAGAGAGCAUGCUUUUUAAAGGAUGUGUGUUGAAUUUGGCGACUUUAUUUCUUUUUAUUUGGAUUUAAAACAUAUUAGGUAAGUCAUUUCUUUAUUUAUAUUAGUUAAGGUGUUCUAG
rnacentral:lncRNA from 1 species